rnacentral:rRNA from 1 species
CCUACGGGAGGCAGCAGUGGGGAAUAUUGCUCAAUGGGGGAAACCCUGAUGCAGCAACGCCGCGUGAAGGAAGACGGUUUUCGGAUUGUAAACUUCUGUUAGUAGUGAAGAAUAAUGACGGAAGCUAAGGAGAAAGCCCCGGCUAACUACGAGCCAGCAGCCGCGGUAAUACGCUGGUGGCCAGCGUUGUCCGGAAUUACGGGGUGUAAAGGGAGCGCAGGCGGGAAGCCAAGUGAGCUGUGAAAACUACGGGCUUAACUUGUACACUGCAGUUGAAACUGGUUUUCGUGAGUGAAGUAGAGGUUGGCGGAAUUCCGAGUGUAGCGGUGAAAUGCGUAGAUAUUCGGAGGAACACCGGGGGCGAAUGCGGCCAACUGGGCUUUAACUGACGCUGAGGCUCGAAAGUGUGGGGAGCAAACAGGAUUAGAUACCCUGGUAGUC